AGUCUAUGGCAUACCACCCUGAAUGUACAUGAUCUCAUCUGAUCUUGGAAGUUAAACAGGGUCAGACCUGAUUAGUACUUGAAUGGGAGAAAGUGUGGUGAUGAUUG
rnacentral:rRNA from 1 species